rnacentral:rRNA from 1 species
CUACGGGCCGCAGCAGUGGGGAAUAUUGGACAAUGGGCGCAAGCCUGAUCUAGCCAUGCCGCGUGAGUGACGAAGGCCUUAGGGUCGUAAAGCUCUUUCGCUGGGGAAGAUAAUGACGGUACCCAGUAAAGAAACCCCGGCUAACUCCGUGCCAGCAGCCGCGGUAAUACGGAGGGGGUUAGCGUUGUUCGGAAUUACUGGGCGUAAAGCGCGCGUAGGCGGAUCAGAAAGUUGGGGGUGAAAUCCCGGGGCUCAACCCCGGAACUGCCUUCAAAACUCCUGGUCUUGAGUUCGAGAGAGGUGAGUGGAAUUCCGAGUGUAGAGGUGAAAUUCGUAGAUAUUCGGAGGAACACCAGUGGCGAAGGCGGCUCACUGGCUCGAUACUGACGCUGAGGUGCGAAAGCGUGAGGAGCAAACAGGAUUAGAUACCCUAGUAGUC